rnacentral:rRNA from 1 species
CCUACGGGUGGCAGCAGUAGGGAAUAUUGCUCAAUGGGGGAAACUCUGACGCAGCAACGCCGCGUGGAGGAUGAAGGUUUUCGGAUUGUAAACUCCUUUUGUUAGAGAUGAUAAUGACGGUAUUUCACGAAUAAGCACCCGCUAACUCCUUGCUAGCAGCCGCGGUAAUACGGAGGGUGCAAGCGUUACUCGGAAUCACUGGGCGUAAAGAGCGCGUAGGCGGGAUAGUAAGUCAGAUGUGAAAUCCUAUGGCUUAACCAUAGAACUGCAUUUGAAACUAUUAUUCUAGAGUAUGGGAGAGGUAGGUGGGAUUCUUGGUGUAGGGGUAGAAUCCGUAGAGAUCAAGAGGAAUACUCAGUGCGAAGGCGACCUGCUAGAACAUAACUGACGCUGAUGCGCGAAAGCGUGGGGAGCAAACAGGAUUAGAUACCCUUGUAGUC